AUCGAACGGGUUCCUAAAUUUUUCAGUAAUUUCAUUCUAUAUGCACCUCAGCAAGCUCAGACCAUAAUAAAUAUGGGAGAUCCCCUACUAAUAAAAUAGAGUCUAGGAAUGAAUGAAGAGUGAUCUCGUAUAAGAUCACAAUUUCUUCGUCAUAAUAAUAGCAAAAGAACUUUUAGAACAGAUAAAAGAAAAUGACUGAUAAUAAAUGUAACCCUAACAUGUGACCAAGGGUGGCAUAUCGUAUGCAUACCAAAACACUGCCAGUACCAACCUG
rnacentral:lncRNA from 1 species